GUGCGGAACACAGGAUCCGAAGAUGGCAGCGGAAGCUCCGCAGCGGCCCCAAAAGCGACUGGGCAGGGAGGGCACAGGCUCCCUCACUGGGUGAAGGCGGCGCAAAGAACGGGAAGAGCCAUCCCGGGAGCCACCGGGCGUUCAGCCUCCCUAGGGCCCCCAGGCGGUUCGGGCCGGGGUCUCAACCGGGGCGUUUCCGGGGGUUUCUGAAGCAGAAUAUAAAAAACUAACGUGAGGUAAACACUAAGGUCUGGAGAUGGCUGUGCAAGAGAUGACAAAGUCCAACACCACGCUGGAGAGUGUCCAAUCAUCUCUUCUGGGGCAGCAUAUUUUUCUACAAUACUGAAUUUGGAAAACAACAGCAACAACAACAACAUCAAAAGCAAACAAAUAAACAAACAAAAACCUACAAGAUUCAUGAAACUGGACAACUGUCUUUAUAACAUUACCAGUGAUAAAACCAGUAAGGAAGGCUGGUUUGCAGUCAUCUGAGAAGCCUCUUUCAUUUCAUAAAUAUGGUUUCUCUCUGACAUUGAACGGCUUCCA
rnacentral:misc_RNA from 1 species